rnacentral:lncRNA from 1 species
AUGAUGCCUAUAGGUCUUCCACCUAAAACCAUUAAUGCUAUCUAGGAAUACCAAACAACAAGCAAUAUAGUUUCUUAAUUUAAGUUUUAUGACAUCCUCUUCAUCAGAGCUUCCAGCUGCAUAAGUACACUUUAUCAUGCUUUUGCUUUUCUAAUGUGUAAGUUUGGAACUUUUUCCAAAUUCACGAACACAUCUCUUCUCAAUAUGAAAGGCUCCCACACGCAACAAAUAAUGAAAUAAUCAACUCACAACAUAAGCACCUCANACAAAUGGACAUUUCAAGUUCUAGCUAAGCAGAAACCAACUUUGUAUCUGACUGUUUAUUAUUUUUCUUCUAUUUGAGGGGUUAUCAUUUGUGAAGACGUGACUGUAAUCACUAUACAGUUUAAAUUACUUUUUCCCUUUUAUCAUCAUC